AAGAACCUUACCAGGUCUUGACAUCCCAAUGACCGCUCUAGAGAUAGAGUUUUCCCUUCGGGGACAUUGGUGACAGGUGGUGCAUGGUUGUCGUCAGCUCGUGUCGUGAGAUGUUGGGUUAAGUCCCGCAACGAGCGCAACCCUUGAUCUUAGUUGCCAUCAUUUAGUUGGGCACUCUAAGGUGACUGCCGGUGACAAACCGGAGGAAGGUGGGGAUGACGUCAAAUCAUCAUGCCCCUUAUGACCUGGGCUACACACGUGCUACAAUGGACGAUACAAAGAGUCGCUAACUCGCGAGGGUAUGCUAAUCUCAUAAAAUCGUUCUCAGUUCGGAUUGUAGGCUGCAACUCGC
rnacentral:rRNA from 1 species